UACGUAGGUGGCAAGCGUUGUCCGGAUUUACUGGGCGUAAAGAGCGCGCAGGCGGUCGUUCAAGUCGCGUGUGAAAGCCCCCGGCUCAACUGGGGAGGGUCACGCGAUACUGAUCGACUCGAAGGCAGGAGAGGGUAGUGGAAUUCCCGGUGUAGUGGUGAAAUGCGUAGAUAUCUGGAGGAACACCGGUGGCGAAGGCGACAUCCUGGACCGGUAUUGACGCUGAGGCGCGAAAGCCAGGGGAGCAAACGGG
rnacentral:rRNA from 1 species